UUGUAAUAGCAAGAUGAUAACAGGAUGAACAACAGUAAACCAAAUCAAGAACAAAUACUGAAUACUGAUUAGAUAAAUAGAAAUCCGGAUUACAAAAGGUCUAGAACCCAGUGUCUGCGGAAUAAAACCUAGAUAAAAAACUUGUUCUCGAAAAUGUAAAGUACAUGCUACUUAUAGCAAAAUAUUCUGAAACACUAAUACUCAAAACGACGCAGUAUUGGGACAGAUUAAGAACUGUACUCGACCCAGGUGGUCGAGUGAGAGGUCGAUUGAAUAGCUGGAGUCUUCUUUUCUUCCUUGUGCUCGAGUGUCUGGUUGAGUGCGGAAUGGAGAAGACUUUGAAGCUCGACAUCGAGUAUGUAGUCGAGUGAUGGUGAUGGUGGUAGAGGUAAAGACACUCGACCAGGUGGUCGAGUGAAGUGAUCGAAUGACUCUCGUGGUGGUACUCGGCCAGAGGGUCGAGUGAUGAGGCGAAGUGGUGAAGUCCUAUACUCGACCAGGGGGUCGAGUGGUCUGUUGAGGUCGUGAAGCGUCUAC
rnacentral:sRNA from 1 species